rnacentral:rRNA from 1 species
AGCAGUAGCCGCGGUAAUACGUAGGGUGCGAGCGUUGUCCGGAAUUACUGGGCGUAAAGAGUUCGUAGGCGGUUUGUCGCGUCGUUCGUGAAAACUUGGGGCUUAACUCCAAGCGUGCGGGCGAUACGGGCAGACUUGAGUACUACAGGGGAGACUGGAAUUCCUGGUGUAGCGGUGAAAUGCGCAGAUAUCAGGAGGAACACCGGUGGCGAAGGCGGGUCUCUGGGUAGUAACUGACGCUGAGGAACGAAAGCGUGGGUAGCGAACAGGAUUAGAUACCCGGGUAGUCCCUGUCUCUUAUAC